CACGUAGGGUGCGAGCGUUGUCCGGAAUUAUUGGGCGUAAAGAGCUCGUAGGCGGUUUGUCGCGUCGACUGUGAAAACCUGGGGCUUAACUCUGGGCCUGCAGUCGAUACGGGCAGACUUGAGUUCGGUAGGGGAGACUGGAAUUCCUGGUGUAGCGGUGAAAUGCGCAGAUAUCAGGAGGAACACCGGUGGCGAAGGCGGGUCUCUGGGCAGUACCUGACGCUGAGGAGCGAAAGCGUGGGGAGCGAACAGG
rnacentral:rRNA from 1 species